rnacentral:rRNA from 1 species
GCAUAGGGAGAAGUUUCUUGGAAAAGAACAUCAGAGAGGGUGAGAGUCCCGUAUUUGCCCUGUGUCAUUUAGUUCCACGUACGGUACGCUUUUAUAGAGUCGCGUUCAUCGGGAUUUGAGCGCAAAAUGUGUGGUAAGUUUCACAUAAAGCUAAAUAAUGGCGCGAGACCGAUAGCAAACAAGUACCGUGAGGGAAAGAUGAAAAGUUCUUUGGAAAGAGAGUUAAAAGUGCCUGAAAUUGCUGAAAAGGAAGCGAUUGGAACCUUAUAGAAUCCAAUACGUGAAUCUCUCAUGACAUUGAGCCCCAGGUUAUUUAACCCUGUAAAAAGGGAAAUUAAUUUGGGUAAGGCAAUAGAUGAAAGGGGCGAGGAUCGUAUUGGAGAGGUCAGCAUCAGUUGGGACGAAAAGACUCCAGGUGUAGAAGGUAGGUCCCCCGUGGGCUGUUUUACUAGAUACAUCAUAAGAACUUUUCUUUUUAACUGAAGUGUACUAUAAUAGAGCAUGGAAUAUUCGGGCUACACUCGAUUUUUGUAAAAAGAUCGAGUACUCGAGUUCUGUGAUGCUGACUAAAAUGGUUUCAACCGACCCGUCUUGAAACACGGACCAAGGAGUCUAACAUAUGUGCAAGUAUGCGGGUGGCAAACCUGUAUGCGAAAUGAAAGUAAGAGUAGGGAAAAGGGUAAUAUCGUCAAAAAAUAUUAUGCUUUGCACCUACGACCGACCAUGAUCUCAGAG